rnacentral:rRNA from 1 species
AUUGAACGCUGGCGGCAGGCUUAACACAUGCAAGUCGAACGAGUGGCGGACGGGUGAGUAAUGCCUGGGAAACUGCCUGAUGGAGGGGGAUAACCACUGGAAACGGUAGCUAAUACCCCAUACCAUCAGAUGUGCCCAUAUGGGACUAGCUUGUUGGUGGGGUAACGGCACACCAAGGCGACGAUCCCUCGCUGGUCCGAGCGGAUGACCGACCACACGGUAACUGAAGCACGGUCCGAACUCCUACGGAGGGCAGCGAUGGGGAAUAUUGCACAAUGGGCGCAGGCCUGAUGCAGCCAGGCGGCGUGUAGGAGGAAGGCCUUCGGUUUGUAAAGUACGUUCAUCGGGGAGGCGUUACCCGCAGAAGAAGCACCGGCUAACUCCGUGCCAGCAGCCGCGGUAAUUC